UCAGGACGAACGCUGGCGGCGUGCUUAACACAUGCAAGUCGAACGGAAAGGCCCCUUCGGGGGUACUCGAGUGGCGAACGGGUGAGUAACACGUGGGCAAUCUGCCCUGCACUUCGGGAUAAGCCUGGGAAACUGGGUCUAAUACCGGAUAGGACCUUUAGACGCAUGUCUUUUGGUGGAAAGCUUUUGCGGUGUGGGAUGGGCCCGCGGCCUAUCAGCUUGUUGGUGGGGUGACGGCCUACCAAGGCGACGACGGGUAGCCGGCCUGAGAGGGUGUCCGGCCACACUGGGACUGAGAUACGGCCCAGACUCCUACGGGAGGCAGCAGUGGGGAAUAUUGCACAAUGGGCGCAAGCCUGAUGCAGCGACGCCGCGUGGGGGAUGACGGCCUUCGGGUUGUAAACCUCUUUCACCAUCGACGAAGGUUCGGGUUUUCUCGGAUUGACGGUAGGUGGAGAAGAAGCACCGGCCAACUACGUGCCAGCAGCCGCGGUAAUACGUAGGGUGCGAGCGUUGUCCGGAAUUACUGGGCGUAAAGAGCUCGUAGGUGGUUUGUCGCGUUGUUCGUGAAAUCUCACGGCUUAACUGUGAGCGUGCGGGCGAUACGGGCAGACUAGAGUACUGCAGGGGAGACUGGAAUUCCUGGUGUAGCGGUGGAAUGCGCAGAUAUCAGGAGGAACACCGGUGGCGAAGGCGGGUCUCUGGGCAGUAACUGACGCUGAGGAGCGAAAGCGUGGGGAGCGAACAGGAUUAGAUACCCUGGUAGUCCACGCCGUAAACGGUGGGUACUAGGUGUGGGUUUCCUUCCUUGGGAUCCGUGCCGUAGCUAACGCAUUAAGUACCCCGCCUGGGGAGUACGGCCGCAAGGCUAAAACUCAAAGGAAUUGACGGGGGCCCGCACAAGCGGCGGAGCAUGUGGAUUAAUUCGAUGCAACGCGAAGAACCUUACCUGGGUUUGACAUGCACAGGACGCGUCUAGAGAUAGGCGUUCCCUUGUGGCCUGUGUGCAGGUGGUGCAUGGCUGUCGUCAGCUCGUGUCGUGAGAUGUUGGGUUAAGUCCCGCAACGAGCGCAACCCUUGUCUCAUGUUGCCAGCGGGUAAUGCCGGGGACUCGUGAGAGACUGCCGGGGUCAACUCGGAGGAAGGUGGGGAUGACGUCAAGUCAUCAUGCCCCUUAUGUCCAGGGCUUCACACAUGCUACAAUGGCCGGUACAAAGGGCUGCGAUGCCGCAAGGUUAAGCGAAUCCUUUUAAAGCCGGUCUCAGUUCGGAUUGGGGUCUGCAACUCGACCCCAUGAAGUCGGAGUCGCUAGUAAUCGCAGAUCAGCAACGCUGCGGUGAAUACGUUCCCGGGCCUUGUACACACCGCCCGUCACGUCAUGAAAGUCGGUAACACCCGAAGCCAGUGGCCUAACCCUUUGGGAGGGAGCUGUCGAAGGUGGGAUCGGCGAUUGGGACGAAGUCGUAACAA
rnacentral:rRNA from 1 species